rfam:Danio rerio chromosome 4, GRCz11 reference primary assembly.
GCAUUGGUGGUUCAGUGGUAGAAUUCUCCCCUCCUACGCAGGAGACCCGGAUUCGAUUACCGGGCAAUGCA